CCUGUUCCUAGAGGCUUUGCAGGUGUGGCUGCUGUGUCACAUGUGCGUCAGUAGGUGGUAGAGAAGAGAGAAGCUGUGUCUACUCUCAGUGUUCUGAUCUGUAAACAUAUGAAUGAUUAGUAACCUAAUACU